rnacentral:lncRNA from 1 species
UUAAGGGUUUAGGGUUUAGUUUAAACUAGUAUAAACUAGGUUUAAGGGUUUAAGGUUUAGUUUAAACUUGUUUAAACUAGUUUAAACUAGGUUUGGGGUUACUUUAAACUAGGUUUAGGGUUUAAGGUUUAGGGUUUAGUUUACACUAGUUUAAACUAGGUUUAGGGUUUAGUUUAAACUAGUUUAAACUAGGUUUAGGGUUUAGGGUUUAUACUAGUUAAACUAGUUUAGGGAGUUUAGGGUUUAGGGUUUAUACUAGUUAAAC